rnacentral:lncRNA from 1 species
UCCCUCUCCGAAAAAUAUACAUGUGGAUCCCUCGACAAUUCACAAUCAAUCCAUGCCUUCUCCUCCAAGACAGUCAACCUCUGAAUUUCAGCAUGACGCUAUGGCCUCUCCAACCAUGUGGCCUCGAUUUAAUGCCAACUUUCCUUUUCAACUGUUUGACGCCUUCGUCCGCGAAACCGAUGACCAUCGAUUCGGGAAAAGUUCGAACGGGGAUUUGCU